rnacentral:lncRNA from 1 species
GCUGCCCACUUCCCUUUAUUCUUUUCUUUUGUGCGAUCAAAAAGAGGAAUUUUUUAUCAUGAGAAAUUAGAUAGAGAUUUGAUUCACCAUAAAAAAUAAGUGGUUGGGGCAUCACAUAUUUUUUUUUGAUGUGGAAUUGGGAGAGGGGGCGACAACACAUCAAGAGUCCAACAUCUCUAGGACUCUUCCAACCCUAUCUUCUUUCACGCAAAAAUAAAGGGGUUUAUUUUUCUCUUUUGUAUGUGUAAGAGAGAGGAGGAAGAGGUCUUUAUGGUGAAGGUUUUUGGCAUGGUUCCU